ensembl:lncRNA
UUCAAAUUCAAAUUUUAUUUGUCACGUACACAGUCAUACACAGUACGAUAUGUAGUGAAAUGCUUGGACAACUGCUCGUGACCUAAAGAAAACAAAAAAGGAAAGGCUAUGAAUAAGAUAGGAAAUAAAUAUGAAAAAUUAAAAAGGGUAAAUUUAACUAGGAAGGAAUAGAAUAUAAAUUAAGGUUAAAAAUGAAAUAACUGUACAACACAAAUUAGAAUGAAGGGUAAAUUUAACUGGGAAGAAUAAGAUAAAGAUAAAUAUAUAAAUUAAAGUUAAAAAUGAAAUAACUGUACAACACAAAUUAGAAUGAAGGGUAAAUUUAACUGGGAAGAAUAAGAUAAAGAUAAAUAUAUAAAUUAAAGUUAAAAAUGAAAUAACUGUACAACACAAAUUAGAAUGAAGGGUAAAUUUAACUGGGAAGAAUAAGAUAAAGAUAAAU